GCGGAUGUAGUUCAUUGGUAGAACACUAGCCUUCCAAGCUAGUUAGGUGGGUUCGAUUCCCAUCAUCCGCU
rnacentral:tRNA from 1 species